rnacentral:rRNA from 1 species
UACAGAGGUGGCAAGCGUUGUUCGGAAUCACUGGGCGUAAAGGGCGCGUAGGCGGCCUUCUAAGUCAGACGUGAAAUCCCCCGGCUUAACCUGGGAACUGCGUCUGAUACUGGGAGGCUUGAGUAUGGGAGAGGGAUGUAGAAUUCCAGGUGUAGCGGUGAAAUGCGUAGAUAUCUGGAGGAAUACCGGUGGCGAAGGCGGCAUCCUGGACCAUAACUGACGCUGAGGCGCGAAAGCUAGGGGAGCAAACGGG